UCUUAUCAUGUUUUUAGGAUAUCUGUGCGUACCAACAGAAUUUUAUAUCGAAAACUAUUUAAUCGCAAGUUCAGUAUUCUAUAAACUGACUGUAGUAAACAUUCGGUACAUAGAAAUAUGAAUAAUUUAUACGAAGCCUUAUCGGAACACGAAAAAGUCAGUAUUGUCGAUAAGAAAAUUCUUAUUCUCACGCGUUGUCUUAUCGCGUUAACGACUGGAUAACGAAAAGCGCUUUGAAGGGAAACCGAGCGAGGGAGAGUUUAGAAAAUUUCUCUAUAAGUUCAUCCAACCGGACCGAGCAAGUUUCGAGCAUCUUCGUGCCUCUUUGCCAGCCGAUCGUUAUUGAUGCACAGCUUAUAAAUAUUUCGGCGAACGUUUAGGUGAAACGCGCCUCGGAGGAAACUUUUCCCGUGUUGGAAACUUCGCCCGAGCGAUAGCCGUAAAAAAGAGAAGUUUCGAGUUUCGGAGGUGAAUGCAUAUAUUCCGCACGGGUAUAAUUAUUGGGAAAAAUGCAUACAUAGAUAAAGAGAAAAAACUGGGAAAUUCCCUCAGAGGAAAUUGCUUGAUUAAAGGGAAAAUAAAACGAGAACAAAGAAACUUCACUCGAGAUGGUUAUAAAGCAAUUAAAAGGGAUCUGCAGAGUAGGAAAUGAAAUGAAAUAUGCGAGCGUAAAGGGAUUAAACUUUUGUCGACUAGAAAUCUUUCUUUCUGUAACUGUCAUGAGACAAUUAAAACUUUUUCAUCAUUCGACGAUGCGUACAAAGGGAAACUUUUGAAAAACAAGUUUUCAUUAAAUCAUCCAGAAGAUUAAGAUCUCUCUUAUUAAAUUUGAACAUGAUAUGUGCUUUCGUACGUUCAUUCGACGGACAAUUUAAUUGGAAGCAAACACGGAGCUUCCAUUUGAAUAUUCUCGACCUUUAAUUAAUUCUAACAUAACAAAUCGCAAUUGUAUUUGCGCACAUGCAUAUGCGCCUGUUCUCUGUUAAACGAUUGCAUCUGCUCGUAUAUUUCUCCGUUGGUUGAUAACGAGAUAGUCCAUGCAGAUAAAUCGUUAAUGAGCAACCAGAAGUUCAGAUAAAGUACGCCGUUGUCUAUAGUUGAAUGCCACGUUUGUUACGCUUUAAAAACCGUGCGAAUACCAAGGACAGAGAUUAUCCCCGCGCAUUUUGUCCUCCGCGCUCUCCUUUACUUCCCUCAAUUUCCUUCGCGAAUAAAUUUGCACAUGAAAAAGACAUUUAGCUAAAAAUUAUUUGUAUUUUUAAACCGAAUUAAGUACACGUCGAUUAUAGGAUCAAAUUUGACGAACGAGUUCAGAUAAGUCGAUUUCAAUGAUCCCAGUUGAACACUUCGCAGAAGGCGAGAUUUCAAGGUGGGCAAACGAUUUCCGCUAGAAAUGCGAACGUUUCUCAAAGACUUGUGGACGUUGGAAUCCGUGAAUAAUUCAACGCUAAAAAAAAAAGGUGAAGAUCGAUCUUUGUGUUCUGCUGAACCAGAGAAACUCGACGGGCGUUCAAUCUUCUCGUCAUUUCUCGCGCUGUUACACCCGUGAAUCUUUCAUGAAGGAGCGCCGGGCGCAUUCCUUCGCCGAAAAUGCAAGGAUUUAACAGAACGACUCCGGUACAAACACGAGUUUCGUUUGGACCGUUUUAAGCGGCGAACGUUUUUCGGCGACCAACAGUUAAUGCAUAGACCGAUUGUAAGUGGAUACGCGGGCCAGCAUACGGUACACGUUUCAACAAAUAGUUUCAUUUCUAAAUGCACGGCAAAUUAAAUUACGACCGAGAAUAAUAUCUGCAAUUUCGACGAAAAUGUAUCUUCCACGUUCUCGAGUCAGAUUUAAUUCUAGGCAGUAAACGUACUGUAAAUCGUUUCGUACGCAAUGGUCCACCGAGCCUCGCAUACGCGGAAUAACAAGGGAAACUACUUUGACACGACUAUCGUGGAAAAACAAACACGGGUUCAUCUGCGAAUCAGGUAGAACGAAAAUGUCUGUGUACCGGGCGAAAAGUAAACGAACGCAAUUAUUUAUUAACAUGCGGGACACGCUUUAAUGAAAGAAUUAAUGUAAUCACGCAGAUAUAAAUUACGACUCAACAAAUUGUGUUAUUGGUACGACAAAAUGACACGUAAUAAGAGCACGUCUGUCGCGAAGGGCUGGCAAUAAGAACCGAGACAGCCGUAUGUCGUGUAGUUAAAUUACUGAGUUAUUGGAUAUCGUUCAUCGAUUACCCGUGAAGGUCUAAAACCGUGAACUAUCGUCCCAUUAGUAUGGAACUCCUCGAAGAGAAUUACACGAAAUUUGUACAAAAAUUGUAUUUACAUAAAAGAUGUGAGAAGCUUC